rnacentral:rRNA from 1 species
UACGGAGGAUGCGAGCGUUAUCCGGAUUUACUGGGUGUAAAGGGAGCGUAGACGGCGGUGCAAGCCAGAUGUGAAAGCCCGGGGCUCAACCCCGGGACUGCAUUUGGAACUGUGCUGCUAGAGUGUCGGAGAGGCAGGCGGAAUUCCUAGUGUAGCGGUGAAAUGCGUAGAUAUUAGGAGGAACACCAGUGGCGAAGGCGGCCUGCUGGACGAUGACUGACGUUGAGGCUCGAAAGCGUGGGGAGCAAACAGG